rnacentral:rRNA from 1 species
CCUACGGGAGGCAGCAGUGAGGAAUAUUGGUCAAUGGGCGAGAGCCUGAACCAGCCAAGUAGCGUGCAGGAAGACGGCCCUAUGGGUUGUAAACUGCUUUUAUACGGGAAUAAAGUUUGCCACGUGUGGCAUUUUGCAUGUACCGUAAGAAAAAGGAUCGGCUAAUUCCGUGCCAGCAGCCGCGGUAAUACGGAAGAUCCGAGCGUUAUCCGGAUUUAUUGGGUUUAAAGGGAGCGUAGGCGGGAAUCCAAGUCAGUUGUGAAACCCUGCGGCUCAACCGUAGUCGUGCAGUUGAAACUGGAUUUCUUGAGUGCGCACAGGGCAGACGGAAUUUGUGGUGUAGCGGUGAAAUGCUUAGAUAUCACGAAGAACUCCGAUCGCGAAGGCAGUCUGCCGGGGCGCUACUGACGCUGAGGCUCGAAAGUGCGGGUAUCAAACAGGAUUAGAUACCCCAGUAGUC